UACGGAGGGUGCAAGCGUUAUCCGGAUUCACUGGGUUUUAAAAGGGUGCGUAGGCGGGUAAGUAAGUCCGUGGUGAAAUCUCUGAGCUUAACUCAGAAACUGCCGUGGAUACUAUUUUGCCUUGAAUAUUGUGGAGGUGAGCGGAAUAUGUCAUGUAGCGGUGAAAUGCUUAGAUAUGACAUAGAACACCAAUUGCGAAGGCAGCUCACUACACAAUCAUUGACGCUGAGGCACGAAAGCGUGGGGAUCAAACAGG
rnacentral:rRNA from 1 species